rnacentral:rRNA from 1 species
CCUACGGGGGGCAGCAGUGAGGAAUAUUGGUCAAUGGACGAGAGUCUGAACCAGCCAAGUAGCGUGAAGGAUGACUGCCCUCUGGGUUGUAAACUUCUUUUAUAUGGGAAUAAAACGUUCCACGUGUGGGAUUUUGUAUGUACCAUAUGAAUAAGGAUCGGCUAACUCCGUGCCAGCAGCCGCGGUAAUACGGAGGAUCCGAGCGUUAUCCGGAUUUAUUGGGUUUAAAGGGAGCGUAGGUGGAUUGUUAAGUCAGUUGUGAAAGUUUGCGGCUCAACCGUAAAAUUGCAGUUGAAACUGGCAGUCUUGAGUACAGUAGAGGUGGGCGGAAUUCGUGGUGUAGCGGUGAAAUGCUUAGAUAUCACGAAGAACUCCGAUUGCGAAGGCAGUUCACUGGACUGCAACUGACACUGAGGCUCGAAAGUGUGGGUAUCAAACAGGAUUAGAUACCCCUGUAGUC